GAUGAAACAUACAGCAAAAUCUCCAAGC
rnacentral:sRNA from 1 species